GGAGGUCUAUAACAUACCAGUGACUGCAUAAGGAGAACUGUCCUAAUCCUGUCGGGACUGAAGGGCAUAGAGUCUAUUUGGGCAUUGCUCACUGAUAAUACUGGAAGUAGCACCCUGCUGAUUCGGGUAAUCGGAUUGAGUUGGAGAGCAGAGAUGACUCCGAUAACUUGACUGGGGGCAAUCCCUGACUCUAUGUCCUGGCUUGCCACAAUCGAAACAAACAUUAAUAUCGGCUCUACAUACCCCCUUGUGAUGUUUACCACACUCUUCGUAAAGCGGAUGAGUAAGAAUCCUGCUCUCACUACUCUGGGAUUUGGAGCCUAGUGCCCCAUUCCUACAGUGCUUUUU
rnacentral:lncRNA from 1 species